rnacentral:misc_RNA from 1 species
GAUGAAGAACGUAGCGAAAUGCGACAAGUAAUGUGAAUUGCAGAAUUCCGUGAAUCAUCGAAUCUUUGAACGCACCUUGCGCCCUUUGGCCAUUCCGAAGGGCAUGCCUGUUUGAGUAUCAUGAACACCUCAACUCUUCAUGGUUUUCCAUGAUGAGCUUGGACUUUGGGGGUCUUGCUGGCCUGUGGGUCGGCUCCUCUCAAAUGAAUCAGCUUGCCGGUUUUUGGUGGGCAUCACAGGUGUGAUAACUAUCUACGCUUGUGGUUUUCCACCAGGGUAACCUUCAGCAGUGGAGGUUCACUGGAGCUUACAAAUGUCUCUCCUCUGUGAGGACAGCCCUUUGAAUGUUUGAUCUCAAAUCAGGUAGGACUACCCGCUGAACUUAAGCAUAUCAAUAAGCGGAGGA